GAUGAACGCUGGCGGCGUGCCUAAUACAUGCAAGUCGAGCGAACGGACGAGAAGCUUGCUUUUCUGAUGUUAGCGGCGGACGGGUGAGUAACACGUGGAUAACCUACCUAUAAGACUGGGAUAACUUCGGGAAACCGGAGCUAAUACCGGAUAAUAUUUUGAACCGCAUGGUUCAAAAGUGAAAGACGGUCUUGCUGUCACUUAUAGAUGAAUCCGCGCUGCAUUAGCUAGUUGGUAAGGUAACGGCUUACCAAGGCAACGAUGCAUAGCCGACCUGAGAGGGUGAUCGGCCACACUGGAACUGAGACACGGUCCAGACUCCUACGGGAGGCAGCAGUAGGGAAUCUUCCGCAAAGGGCGAAAGCCUGACGGAGCAACGCCGCGUGAGUGAUGAAGGUCUUCGGAUCGUAAAACUCUGUUAUUAGGGAAGAACAUAUGUGUAAGUAACUGUGCACAUCUUGACGGUACCUAAUCAGAAAGCCACGGCUAACUACGUG
rnacentral:rRNA from 1 species